UACGUAGGGUGCGAGCGUUAAUCGGAAUUACUGGGCGUAAAGCGUGCGCAGGCGGUUCGCUAAGACCGAUGUGAAAUCCCCGGGCUUAACCUGGGAACUGCAUUGGUGACUGGCGGGCUAGAGUAUGGCAGAGGGGGGUAGAAUUCCACGUGUAGCAGUGAAAUGCGUAGAGAUCCGGAGGAACCCCAGAGGCGAAGGCGGCGCCCUGGCUCGCAACUGACGCUCAGACACGACAGCAUGGGGAGCGAACGGG
rnacentral:rRNA from 1 species